GGUGCUAAAGUUUCAGAUCGUUUAGAGCCAUGGGGAAUGGGAUGAAUAAGAUACUUCCUGGUUUGUUCCUUGGAAAUUUUAAAGAUGCUCGUGACACCGAACAACUAAAACAGAAUAACAUUACACACAUUCUUUCAAUCCAUGACAGUGCUCGGCCCAUGUUGGAGGUAGGGUAAGAAACUUACCAAACUUAAACCAAUGUGGUUUCAGUAGGAAUAAGCAGGCAAAUGCUAUUUUAGCAUUAGUACAAUAUUGACUUAGGACUAUUUCUGUAAAGGGCUAUGGAUAAGAGGAAGGAGGAAGUUGUCAACAAUGAUGUAUAGAUGCAGGGAAGGGGCUUUUUCUCAAGAACUCUGAUUAUCAUUUUUCCAUUAAUCUGCUCAAAUGAAUCUAAUGUCAUAAUCACGUCACGAUAAGUCAGUGUCAUCUAACUUCCAUGUGAUUUAACCAGUGUUGAUUGUAACUGUACUUCUGGAUUUCUGAUUAUCAUCAAAUUGGGCUACAAAUGGCAAUGUGUAUUCCUCCAGACAUUGAACCUCAGCUACUGUCAGCUUUUGCGAGUAUGGCCGAUGGUAAAGAAUGAUAGAAGUUGUAGUUCUAAAUAAUAAUGUGGCCCAUUUCUUGGGGUUCUGUUCAA